UGUUUUAGUGUUUAUCGGCUGGGGGGCCUGGGCUAAGGUUCUUGUUUCUCUGUACUUUAUAGUAAUGACUUUUUAUACAACAGAAUCAUUGAUCAUGAAA